rnacentral:rRNA from 1 species
UACGUAGGGGGCAAGCGUUGUCCGGAUUUAUUGGGCGUAAAGAGCGUGUAGGCGGCUUCACAGGUCUGCUGUGAAAACUCGAGGCUCAACCUCGAGCUGUCGGUGGAAACCGUGGGGCUAGAGUCCGGAAGAGGAGAGUGGAAUUCCCGGUGUAGCGGUGAAAUGCGCAGAUAUCGGGAAGAACACCCGUGGCGAAGGCGGCUCUCUGGGACGGUACUGACGCUGAGGCGCGAAAGCGUGGGGAGCAAACAGG